CCUACGGGUGGCAGCAGUGAGGAAUAUUGGUCAAUGGGCGGAAGCCUGAACCAGCCAAGUAGCGUGCGGGAUGACGGCCCUAUGGGUCGUAAACCGCUUUUGCCCGGGGACAACACCCUCCACGUGUGGCGUUCUGCAGGUACCGUGCGAAUAAGGCAUGGCUAAUCCCCUGCCAGCCGCCGCGGUAAUACGGAAGGACCGAGCGUUAUCCGGGUUCAUUGGGGUUAAAGGGAGCGUAGGCGGGCGUUCAAGUCAGCGGUAAAAUUGCGGGGCUCAACCGCGCCCCGCAGUUGAAACUGGACGCCUUGAGUGCACAACAGGCAGGCGGAAUUCGUGGUGUAGCGGUGAAAUGCAUAGAUAUCACGAGGAACCCCGAUUGCGAAGGCAGCCUGCCGGGGUGCGACUGACGCUGAGGCUCGAAGGUGCGGGUAUCGAACAGGAUUAGAUACCCGAGUAGUC
rnacentral:rRNA from 1 species